UUUGGUAAUAAACAUAAAUUACGAUAUAAAUUACCAUGGCUUUCUUAUCCAAUGGGUUUUGAGAAGGAGACAAGGAAAGAGGACGCAAGGAGUAUGCAGUCGAGAUCGGUCUUUGCCACUGUCUGUCACUGUCACUGUGUUCCAUCUCAGUAAAGAAACAAGAAGGGCCCUAGCCUGAUGACCACUGUGGCCAUGCCUGUGUUCAGCACCAAGAACGAGACCAAGAACCAGGGUAUUCUCCUAGGGGUAGUGGGCACAGACAUUCCUCUUCAGGAACUCAUGAAGAUCAUCCCUAAACACCUGCUGGGUAUCCACGGUUACGCCUUUGCCAUCACAAACAACGGCUACAUCCUGACCCAUCCGGACCUGAAGCCACU